GAUGAAGAACGUAGCGAAAUGCGAUACGUAAUGUGAAUUGCAGAAUUCAGUGAAUCAUCGAGUCUUUGAACGCACAUUGCGCCCCCUGGUAUUCCGGGGGGCAUGCCUGUCCGAGCGUCAUUGCUGCCCUCAAGCACGGCUUGUGUGUUGGGCCUCCGUCCUCCUCCCGGGGGACGGGCCCGAUGGCAGCGGCGGCACCGCGUCCGGUCCUCGAGCGUAUGGGGCUUCGUCACCCGCUCUUGUAGGCCCGGCCGGCGCUUGCCGACACAUCAAUCUUUUUUCCAGGUUGACCUCGGAUCAGGUAGGGAUACCCGCUGAACUUAAGCAUAUCAAUAAGCGGAGGA
rnacentral:misc_RNA from 1 species